rnacentral:rRNA from 1 species
UACGGAGGGUGCAAGCGUUAUCCGGAUUCACUGGGUUUAAAGGGUGCGUAGGCGGGUUGGUAAGUCCGUGGUGAAAUCUCCAAGCUUAACUUGGAAACUGCCGUGGAUACUAUCAAUCUUGAAUAUCGUGGAGGUAAGCGGAAUAUGUCAUGUAGCGGUGAAAUGCUUAGAUAUGACGCAGAACACCAAUUGCGAAGGCAGCUUGCUACACUGUUAUUGACACUGAGGCACGAAAGCGUGGGGAUCAAACAGG